UCUCUUAAAGAAAUCCAGGAAUAUUAUGUGGCAGAGAGGAGAAAUACUAUGUCUACACUCAAGGUUCUGACUUAUGAAUUUCUAAAUGACUAGCAGCCUAUCAUU
ensembl:snoRNA LOC120094941 small nucleolar RNA SNORA17